rnacentral:rRNA from 1 species
AACGAACGCUGGCGGCAUGCCUAACACAUGCAAGUCGAACGAGACCUUCGGGUCUAGUGGCGCACGGGUGCGUAACGCGUGGGAACCUACCCUUAGGUUCGGAAUAACUCCCCGAAAGGGGUGCUAAUACCGGAUAAUGUCUUCGGACCAAAGAUUUAUCGCCUUUGGAUGGGCCCGCGUUGGAUUAGCUAGUUGGUAGGGUAAAAGCCUACCAAGGCGACGAUCCAUAGCUGGUCUGAGAGGAUGAUCAGCCACACUGGGACUGAGACACGGCCCAGACUCCUACGGGAGGCAGCAGUGGGGAAUAUUGGACAAUGGGCGGAAGCCUGAUCCAGCAAUGCCGCGUGAGUGAUGAAGGCCUUAGGGUUGUAAAGCUCUUUUACCCGGGAUGAUAAUGACAGUACCGGGAGAAUAAGCUCCGGCUAACUCCGUG